AAAAAAUGUGGCUAUUUGAUUAGGACUUUUCUUCUAUGUGUCGCAACUCCAUUUCCACUUUAUGUCCCCGUUAUAGGGAGGUGUAAUUUAUGCUGCAGGCUAAUUACAAAAUUGUGGUCCAAGUUCAACUCCUAGCCUAUAGGGUGUGGUAACAGGCCCUCUGUUAUUUGUUGUUGUACUCUGCAUGUGAAGUACUCUGCAUGUGAAGUAUCUGCACUGUAGCCUAUAGAAGAAGUAAGCCCUUGUUAAUAGGGGAAGGCAAGCAGUUGAAGGGAACAAGUGACAGAGUCUAACCUGCUGUUGAACACAAACUCCCAGUCCUAUGAUGUUGCUCUGUGAAGAAGCUGCAUCCCAGCAAGUUGAAGGCCGGCAGCCACUAAGUAGAGGAAUGUUUUACAGCGUUUCAGCUUGCAGAGGUAUCACCACCCUUCCCAUGGCCACCUGGAUCCUGUCUAGGGAAGAAAACGAAGAAUGAUGUUAUUACAUGGCCUUCAAGAGCUACAUGACUGCUGAGGUGACAUAUCGGAC